ensembl:lncRNA
GCUUAAUACCCAGCAAAGGAAACAAUUCCUGGCCCAGUUCUUAGACUAGCCCCCAGUUCUUUGACUCUCAUAUUUCUGUUUUCUCCAGGGAUUCGGAUUGUGAAACUCCUGUCCCUGUGAUGAUUUUUGACCCUUGCUUUCCAGUCUGCCUGGAAAUUACUCCCUGUUAAUUUGCACCUUGACCAUGACCUAUGCUACCUUCUCCCAGACCCUGCUUUGUUCCAUCUGCUGGAUUUCCAUUGUCAGGGUCCUGCCCAGGACUAACCUCUGCUCAUGAACAUCUUCUGGAAUGACUGUCUUGGCACUGUGAGUAGAUUUCAUCCUCUGGUGGUCACUACGUGAAUUUGAAUUCAAUCUUCUGCUCAGCAUUUGGAGGUUCUGUCAGUCAAAGGCACCAAUCUUUUCUGGAAACUACUGUGUGUGUGUGUGUGUGUGUGUGUGUGUGUGUGUAUGUGUGUGUGUAUCAUCUCUCAAACAUGUUCAAAGAAGACUUGUGAUUUUUAUUUAACAGGCUACAAAAGAAGGCUCAGAGAGUUUCAGGAAUCUCCCUAAGGUCACAGAAUUUGUUCCAAAGCAUGUUGUCUUUUCUAUAGGUGACUCCCAAGGAGGUAUGAGGAAGAUACAGGAGGUAUAAGGAAGUUAGGAAAGUCAAGACAACUGUGGUCAUGAAAAGCAGGCCAGGAGUUUAAGAUGUUUAUAGUGGUCAGUUUAUGAGUGAUUCACUUCAGAGGAGUGGACUUGCUAGUGAGUGGAGUCCAGGAAAAGGCCACAAGUAUGAAGGAAAUCGAGGGACAUUGUUGUAAUCAAGGUCACAGAGAAUCUGUCAGUAUGAAGCUGAUCAUAAGGAAUUAACUCUUCCCUUCUAGUUUUAUACCAAGAUGAAAUGUAAUGCUUUCCCUGGAAGUGGGUGUUGUGAAAGAAUCAUCCUUGGAAUAAUGAUUGCUGCAUUCACCUGGCCUCUAGACACAAUGCUGGUAUUUCCAUGCAUGCUGUGUAUGUUUGCAGCAAAUUUGCUCACACAGUCGGACCAGUCCUUUUGGCUAUCAUGUCUAGGAAGUAUGAAUUUAACAUUUGUGAAAAAAGCACAAAUGUUGCCUUUCUGGUUGGCUAUAAAUAGAAAUGGUUCCACUUCCCUGGAUGUUCCUGAUGUAACACAUCUUAAUCCAAAUGAUAGCACUCCCUCCAAGUAUAUGCAGAAUAGCUAACAUUCUUCCUUUCCCUCUUAGAAGGUGGAUUAGUACCACCUGUCUCAGCUAACAUUCAUGAGAUUCAGCAGGAAAAACAGUAUUAGGUGGGGAAAGCUCCUUUGAAUGUGGUGUUUUAGGAUUAUUUUUCUGGUUGCUAAACUGCUACCUUUGUAUUCAAAGGUGAUGAGAUGUUUUCUGGCUGGGAGACAGAAACAACCCCUAAAGGUGGGAAGUUAAAAGAGGGCUGAUGAAGAUGUAGAGUAGAGCCCAAGUUGCUGGAGGAGGAUAUGCCACUGGGUAGUAGGGUUGCUUACAUUUUCUUCUUGCUGUUACAGUGGAGGGGAGGGCUGUGGUCAUAGGCUUGCUUCCCUUCCAGCCCUUGCUUCCCUUCCCUUCUUCUAGGGAAGGUAUUAACCUGAGUUCUCAUUCCAGCUGGAUCUUUGCCAGACAGUCAGGGCAGCUCUAUGUUUCCCUGUACCAGGCCAAAAGGGAAAAUGCAAUGCUUCCAUGUUCAAAGGAUUGUCUUGGAGCUGGGGUCCUGAAACUUGCUCUUGGAUUUGGGAUUCGAAAGGAGCAGCAUCCUGGGCUGGGGAUUUAACCUUUUGCUGUCUGUGUGUUUCCCCUUUCUAAGUGGAGAUCAUGGAAUUCUCUUGCAGGAGUGUUGGGAAGAUUAAUGAGUUAAUGUUUGGUGAAGUGCUUUGAGAUUCUCAGAUGAAAAGUGCUACACAAUAAUUAUGAUAACACUUUGUUUUUACAUAGUGGCUUUCUUUCAGAGAGCUCAAAUUGCUUUAUAAAAAUUAUUUCAUUAAUCCCCAUGGCAUUCCACUAUGGCAGGUAGCAAUUACUAUGUUCUGUUCUCAUCAGGAAUCUGGAACACAGAGAAGUAAAAUGACCUGGCCAAAGUUACACAGCAGCUCACUGAUAAAAAUCAUUUGCUGAAUUUGGAUCUGAUUCUUUCAUCCACUGAUUCACUCCUUCAUCAAAUAUUUACCAAUUAUCAUGUGCUAUAAUCAUAUGAUAUGAUUUUUUCCUAUCAUAUGGUAGAAGAGGACCUGAUGGAAAAUUAAGUAAAGCAUAUUUUCUGUCAUUGAAGAGAUUUAGUGUGUCCACUUGAAUGAGUAAAUAAGUAAUUAUAAGAAGACAUGACAAUCAUUUAGUACAAUCCAAAGAAGGACAAAAACUUCAUCCAAUGUAGGCAAAAAGAAGUAAUUUUGAUUUCCCAAAGAGAUAUCAGAUUAGUGAACUCUUUCUUGAGUGAUAAAUUCACCAGUACCAAAAAGAAGGGGAAGAAAUAUGUCUUAAAAGAAGGAAGAAGCAUAAGUCUGGGGUGUGAGAUCCACUUGGCAUGGUGGAAACAUAGAACUUGUUAGAAAGAGAAAUGAAUUCUGAAAUUUGACCUUUAUGCACAAGGUAAUCGAAAAGCAUUAGAGGUUGUUCAGGUAGAAAGAAUGUGGUGAGCUUUACGGUAGUCCUCCCGUACCUGAACUUUACUUCCUAUGGUUUUGGUUGCCUAGGGUCAAAUGUGGUCUGAAAAUAGUAAAUGGAAAAUUCCAGAAAGAAACAGUUCAGAAGCAUUGAAUUACAUGCGUCUGAGUAGUAUAAUGAAAUCUUGCAUCAUCUUGCUCUGUCUCACUAGGAAUGUGAAUUAUCUUUGUAUCAGGUGUAUUUAUGCUGUAUACAUUGCCUGCCCUGUAAGUUACUCAGCAGUCCUCUUGGUUGUCAGACUGACUAUCAUAAUAUUGCAGCACUUGUGUUCAGAUAAGUCUUAUAUUAUUUAACAGUGGCUCCCAUAUCUCAAGAGUAGUAAUGUUGACAAUUAGCAUAUGUCAAAGUGAAGCUAUAAAAUGCUUCCUUUAAAUAUCAUCUCUUAUCAUCACAAGAAGGGUGAAUUCAACGUAAUGAAAUAUUUUGAGAAACAGACAAAUACACUUGCAUAACUUUUAUUAUAGUAUCUUAUUAUAUUAUUCUAUUUUAUUAUUAAUUACUGUUAUUGAUCUCUUACUGUGCCUAAUUUAUAAAUUAACCUCUAUAAUAACUAUAGAAAAGAACAUAGCAUACAUAAGGUCUGCUACUACAAUCCUUGCUUUCAGGCAUACACUGUUAGGGAGGCUCGUCUAGAAAUCUAUUUCCAGUGGAUAAAGAGAGACUAUGUGUAUUUAGAAAAUUCGAUCUGGUGGCUGAUUAUCAUGAAGUUUGCAUGUGUAAAAGACCUAAGUCCUCCAGCUAGUUCUCUCACUCAAAGUCCAGUCAGGCACUGGGGCCUUUUUCUCCUCAGUAGUUUUAGGAGCUCCCAAUUCAAUAUUGUUUUGUAAUUCUGCACAUGGAACUUCAGGAAAACAGCUACAACAAUAGUCUUUCAUGGCUAGUAUGUUUCUCAUUUAGAGAAGCAUAUAACUGUCUUUUUAAAGAAACAAAUGAUCUAUAAUGAAGUUUUUCAAUGAUAGUACAGGGAGUGACUGUCACUCUUCUGCUUUGAAAUCCAUCAGGCAAAAUGGACUCAGGAGGUCAUACCUGGCACCAAAAGAAUAAGUUAAUAAGUAAAAAUCUUAGAUAAAAUAAAGAAAGAGCAGGAAGAAAAAUCUGUCUCAUUCUACAAUCCACCAAUUUUUCCUGAGAUUAUUUGUCAGCUCUAAGGUCACUGACAGGCAGUACAUGGACUGAGUCAUUGGUACCUGCUUCACAGAUGUGGUGGGCAAAGAUAUCCUGUGGUGAGGAAGGGUGAGGGACACAGAAAGCGUCCAGACACUGGGAAUAAGUCUAUUAGUACUGCAAGGUUCUACCAUUUCUUAAGCUUCAGUGACUUUCAGCUUUAUUUCUUUCCCAUCACCCAUACACCAAAGUUUUAUUCCUAAGAUAUAGGAGACUGUUUUCCCUUACUUUUCCUUUUCCCCACCACCUUAAUGUCUUGUCUUUCAUUUCCACCUUUUCUUGAACUUAGAGUUUGUCCUGCCCUGCCUUACCUUGUCCUGUCCUUCCUUUCCCAUCCCUUCCAUUCCCUCCCCUUCCCCUCCUGCCCCCUCCUCUGUUCUCCUUUCCUCUCAUUUCUUUCUUUCUCUCUCUACUUCCUUCCCCUUCCCUCCUUCUCUGUCUUUCUCUCUGUGUAUCUGUCUCUCUAUGUCUGUCUCUCUAUGUCUGUCUGUCUGUCUGUCUGUCUGUCUCUCUCUCUCUCUCUCUCGCACAUCAACUCUUUUUAAAAUUUUUGGACAGGGUCUAAAUAAGUCUCUAGAUUUCCAGGCCUAAGUUAGAAUUUCUGAUCUUCCUCCCUCAGCCUUCCAGAGUGCUGGGAUUACUGGUAUGUAUCACCAUGCCUGGCUGAAUUUACUUUUUCAAUGUCAUAAAAGGCAGUAUAUUCAGGAUCUAGGCUCCAAGUUCAAGGCCAGGAAAAAUUAAGGAAUUUUCCCAAGGUUAUGCACAUGGGGAUGAGUGGAAUAAGAAUAAGAGUGGGGCUCGUGUAGUGGUGGCAUGCAAAUGAAUCCCCAGUUCUAGGACAGACAUUGUCCUGGGCUGUGAGGAAAUCCUAGUGAAUAAGAUGGGAAAGUUCUUAGAGAAUAAAAAGUCAUAUUCUAAAGGCAAAUGAUAUGAAAUAAGCAUAUAAUAAAUAAAUUAAUGGCAGAGGGGGAAAAAGCAUGGGAUGGGGACACAGACAGUGCUAUAUGGAGAUUAAUCAGUUAGCUUUCUGUCACUAUAACAAAAUAUCUGAGAGAAUUAACUUACAAAGAGAAAAGGUUUUACAAGUCCCAGCCCUGACAAGACUGACCCACUGCUUUGACUUGAAGAGUUGUAGAAAAUAACAACAUGCACAAGAUUUUUAUACUUAGGUGUUUGGAUUUCCUCUUGUUUCCUCUUUGCCUCCAUCUGAAGAGCAUUGGAGUGGGCUGAUGACAUGGAGGCUGAGAGACAGCGCCUCCAUUGCAUGAUUUAACCAUGCUUCUUCCAGAGCAAGGGGGUGCAUUGCCUCAUGACUUUCUGGGUGGGUUGGAUUUGUUUUUUGGCCUUCAUCAUUUACACUGGUCAUUGACACUACCAGACCUUUCUACCUAACUGCACACUUAAAAUGUGGUCACGCUUCUGUGACUCCCUUUGCACCAUGCCCUGGCUGCCCGAGUACCUUAAGAUCUCCAUUCCAGGCAGGCCUGGGCUAAGCUCUUGAAAAGUCUGGAACUAGCCACCACUCCUGCACUUACCUUUAGCAGUAACACACGUUUCUCCUUUUAAUGUUCAUGUGCGUUCCAUAUUUCCAGAUUGAAAACUCAUCUGGUUAAACAUCCUCAGACCAUAUUAUGAUGUUUACUGCAAGAGUAAUAUGAAUUCUCAAGAGGUUCUUUAAAUAACUCUGGCUAGGUAAAUAAAUAAAUGAUACCAGUUGUCAUUUACUGCACACCUACCAUGUCCCAGGAACACUUUUAAACUACUGACAUGUAUGCAUUUAGUGCUCACCAAACCCUCUAGUGUAGCUGUCCUGGUGAGGUGAAUUUGAGAGCAUUUGAACACCUGAACAGUAGCCGUGCCCCAGUCUGCAGCUUCUAGGUAAAAAGGAAGGGCCUGGCUUGGGAGAUAAUCUAUAAUUUUUAUAUAUGAAAAUUCAAGAUUUUAACAGUGUGGGGUAUAUGUGUGUAUAUUUUAUAUACUUAUUUUAUGGACACAUGUUAGACUAUGUUAUAACUACAUCAUACACUGUGAGAACUGAACAAAUGUGCUUCCUGGGCAGCGUACCACCUCAGGCCCAGCAAAGAGCCUCUAAGUCAACAGUCUACUCUGGGAUGGUGAGAAAAGCACAGCAUUGGAGCAGCUGUAUAACAGGGUGGUUACCUCUUCAUUUCAUGGACCCUUGAGAUCCUGAGUUUAGAUAGAAGUUAGUGGCAAACUGUCAGCUAGAUCACACUGUUGUGGGCAUUGGAAGUGUAUUCCUAGAGUUCGUUGCAAAUUAGGGGCUUGGUCCAUGCCAUUAAUUUCUUCUUUUUUUUUUUUUUGUACCAGGGAUCGAACUCGGGUCCUUGUGCUUGUGCAGCAGGUGGCAAAACCACUGAGCUAAAUCCCCGGCCCAUCAUUAAUUUAUUCUUUGGGAGGAAGCUCUGGGUAUGGAAACAAGGUCCUGGUACAUCCUAGGUGAAUGCUCCACCACUGAAGCAUACCCACAUCCCUCAGUCAGCUGAACAGGGCGCUGAGCCCACUCUCAGGGAAAUGGGGUCCACAAGAUUCUCUUCUUACUCUUACCCUCCACGGGAGCACCUGACCCAGCCCAAGGACUCAUUUUUUAUGUGAUAUUUGCAAGCUUCUCUAUCUAUACCUUUAUUCCUCCUGGGUAAAAAGUUUGAUAGGAAUGUAAGUGGGUAUCCUUGAAAGAAUAUUUCUAUUUUGACAGGGACCAGUGACUUUGAGUAGCUUGAGAGAAUACUCACGUGAGCCUGAGAAUGCCAUGAGAGAUUGGGCAUAGACACAUUCCCUUUUACCCACCAUGACUCCACAGCCUCCCUAGCUGUUUGUCUCUCUCUUCUACUGAGGCUUCAGGUAGUAUUCUUUUACAAAAAAGGGGCUCUGUGGCAAUGAUGAAGGUAUCUGGAAAAGUUAAAACCUUCCAGCCAAGUUCUAAGCAUCAAUCAUUUUGUUAUCAAUUUUCUGCAAAAAGUUGUGGAUUUUUUUCCCCUGCUCAUAAAUGCCUCCUAGAAAAAUAAGAGUUGCAGUAGGCACUUUCUUUUCCCCAGGCACAGAACUAUCAAACUUCUCAGCUGGAAUUCAGAGACAGUAAGCAAACUCCCUAAAUACUAACAUGGCAUACGAGCUGUUUUCCUGGCAGGAUGGUUUUGUGCCCAUCAACUUGGGAGUGCUAUGGCAACUCAGUGGGGCCUUGCUGAAUAGCAGUGGCACUGGGACUCUUCACUAAGGUCCUUCUGGUGCCAAGCAGUCCCCAAGUCAGAGCAUGUGCUGAUUUCAACAUUUGUUGUCACUGUAGAUAAAGAACAAUCAGCAAAGAUCCUGAUCCCAUGACCCAUUUCUCAAUUCUUCUGGUUUCUGGGAAUCAGCAUACUGAUUAUGUAGACUUGGCUGACUAGGAGAGGCUUGGGAUUCCCCUACUGGCUUAUGUCCUAUUUUGCAAAAUGAACAACUGUUUUCUUUUUCUUCCUCAUUUGCAAGGUAGGGAAAAUACUUCCUCUAGCCCUGUAGCAAAUCUCCUUACUUUGCAAUUGCAUCUUGGUGUUCUGCUAGGUUGGUUAGGUGAAUAGGGGUCUGGUGUCACAAGGCUAAAGAGAAGUGAGGGCCUGGAUAGUUCAUUUUUUUUCUUCCUUAGCCUUUCCUUUUUCUUAUUCCCUCUUCUACCUUUCAUUUAUGUUUCAGGUUAUUUAAUGGAAAAUUGAAAGCAAUAUUUUAAGUAAAAUGCCUGCGUUCUCUUAAUGGGCAUGGCUGUGGCCAACAGACCUAUAGGUCGAAUGGCUAUGACACCAAGCAGUGGGCACAUACACGUGCGUCGGCCAGUGUGCCCAAAUCAAGUACUGUAUGUGUGUGGAACCACAUGCUCUUCUAGAGCUUUUCAGAGCCGGGUGUAUGCUGGGCUGCAAGUGUUUUUCACUUCUUUUUAGUUUUUAAAUGAAGACCCUUUUUAGUUAUCUACCUCGGAUACUCCAUGAAAUGGAAGAAUACCUCACUGCAUUUACCAACUCCAUUGUGUGGCUUAAUUGAU